AUUGAACGCUGGCGGCAGGCCUAACACAUGCAAGUCGAGCGGAUGAAGGGAGCUUGCUCCUGGAGUCAGCGGCGGACGGGUGAGUAAUGCCUAGGAAUGUGCCUGGUAGUGGGGGAUAACGUCCGGAAACGGGCGCUAAUACCGCAUACGUCCUGAGGGAGAAAGUGGGGGAUCUUCGGACUGCACGCUAUCAGAUGAGCCUAGGUCGGAUUAGCUAGUUGGUGGGGUAAAGGCCUACCAAGGCGACGAUCCGUAACUGGUCUGAGAGGAUGAUCAGUCACACUGGAACUGAGACACGGUCCAGACUCCUACGGGAGGCAGCAGUGGGGAAUAUUGGACAAUGGGCGAAAGCCUGAUCCAGCCAUGCCGCGUGUGUGAAGAAGGUCUUCGGAUUGUAAAGCACUUUAAGUUGGGAGGAAGGGCAGUAAGUUAAUACCUUGCUGUUUUGACGUUACCAACAGAAUAAGCACCGGCUAACUUCGUG
rnacentral:rRNA from 1 species